UGUCGGCGACCGGCGCGCGGUGCGUAACGCGUAUGACCAACCUACCCAUUACAGGGGGAUAACACUGAGAAAUCGGUACUAAUACCCCAUAACAUCCAGGGAGGCAUCUUCUUGGGUUGAAAACUCCGGUGGUAAUGGAUGGGCAUGCGUUGUAUUAGUUAGUUGGUGGGGUAACGGCUCACCAAGACAACGAUACAUAGGGGGACUGAGAGGUUAACCCCCCCACAUUGGUACUGAGACACGGACCAAACUCCUACGGAAGGCAGCAG
rnacentral:rRNA from 1 species